UGCGGAUUAGAGCAGUAGGUAGCUCGCAAGGCUCAUAACCUUGAGGUCGCAGGUUCGAGUCCUGCAUCCGCUACAA
rnacentral:tRNA from 1 species